GGGUUGGGCAUGUUCCAGGAUCUGUCUAUCGACUUCUCUCAGGAGGAAUGGGAGGGCCUGGACACUGCUCAGAAGGACUUAUAGAGAGAUGUAAUGAUGGAGAACUAUAGCAGCCUGGUCUCACUAGGUCUCUCUAUCCCAAAGCCUGAUGUGAUUUCCUUACUGGAGCAAGGGAAAGAGUCCUGCAUGGUUUCAAGGGACGUACCAGGAGGAUGGUGCCCA
rnacentral:lncRNA from 1 species